rnacentral:rRNA from 1 species
UUUUAUGAUUACAUUGUGCUUCCAAGAAUAAGCCAUGCAUGUCUAAGUAUAAGCAAUUAUACGUGAACUGCGAAUGGCUCAUAAAUCAGUAUCGUUUAUUUGAUAGUACUACUACUGGAUAACCGUGGUAAUUCUAGAGCUAAUACAUGCUAAAACCCCAACUUCGGGAGGGGUGUAUUUAUUAGAUAAAAAACCAACGCCUUCGGGGCUUCUUGGUGAUUCAUGAUAACUUUACGGAUCGCAUGGCCUUGCGCCGGCGACGGUUCAUUCAAAUUUCUGCCCUAUCAACUUUCGAUGGUAAGGUAUUGGCUUACCAUGGUUUCAACGGGUAACGGGGAAUUAGGGUUCGAUUCCGGAGAGGGAGCGUGAGAAACGGCUACCACAUCCAAGGAAGGCAGCAGGCGCGCAAAUUACCCAAUCCCGACACGGGGAGGUAGUGACAAUAAAUACUGAUACAGGGCUCUUUUGGGUCUUGUAAUUGGAAUGAGUACAAUUUAAACCUCUUAACGAGGAACAAUUGGAGGGCAAGUCUGGUGCCAGCAGCCGCGGUAAUUCCAGCUCCAAUAGCGUAUAUUAAAGUUGUUGCAGUUAAAAAGCUCGUAGUUGAAACUUGGGUCUGGCUGGCAGGUCCGCCUCACCGCGUGUACUUGUCCGGCCGGGCCUUCCUUCUGGAGAACCUCAUGCCCUUCACUGGGCGUGUUGGGGACCAGGACUUUUACUUUGAAAAAAUUAGAGUGUUCAAAGCAGGCCUUUGCUCGAAUACGUUAGCAUGGAAUAAUAGAAUAGGACGUGCGGUCCUAUUUUGUUGGUUUCUAGGACCGCCGUAAUGAUUAAUAGGGACAGUCGGGGGCAUCAGUAUUCAAUUGUCAGAGGUGAAAUUCUUGGAUUUAUUGAAGACUAACUACUGCGAAAGCAUUUGCCAAGGAUGUUUUCAUUAAUCAGUGAACGAAAGUUAGGGGAUCGAAGACGAUCAGAUACCGUCGUAGUCUUAACCGUAAACUAUGCCGACUAGGGAUCGGGCGAUGUUCUUUUUCUGACUCGCUCGGCACCUUACGAGAAAUCAAAGUUUGUGGGUCUGGGGGGGGAGUAG